UUUUAUUAAAACUGUAUGUAGAACUAUUAUUGAAUUAGAAGCUCACAGAAAGGGCUAAACCUAAAAAUUUGAUACGGUCGGUCUGAAUCGUUCUGCAUCCAAUCUCGCGUCCUGCGUCCACGACCGGCAGCACCGCUCCUGCCUCUUGCGUUGCGUGUCUUCGCAGCCUUCGCCGUCGCUCUCGCUCCUUGCUAAGAAUAACAUGUGUGGUGGUAAUUCAGGUUUUGCUCUUCAAUUUUUGUAUAACAAUGGAGGCUGCAAAAUUUGAACCGAAAUACUCUGGAGAGUUGUUGAAGCAUAUGGAUAAACAGAAUGAGGUCCUUAUGGAAACUUACAGAUCAAUGUUGCAUGAAUUGCAAAAACUUCAGGUGGAAGAAGAGAUGCUUAUGCGCAAGCUUUAUGAAGUUAUGUCUGUCCAUGGUCUCACUAAACAGAUUGAAGACAACUCCAACGAUUCCCAUGAUAGUGCUGGAGCUGAACAGUUCAAUAAUAAAGUCAAUACAAAUCUGGUUUGACACAGAUCACCUAUAGGUUACAACAGUAUAUAAAGAAAAAAGAUCAUGAUGGAGUCAAUGACAAUAAAUCUCACUAGAAAAUACAUGCAGUUGGAGCUUUAACAAGUGUGAUUGGAACUUCGAAUGUCCAAGAAGAUGGAUUUAUUGAAGUCCAAGAGGAUAUGAAUGUUUGAUAGUUUUGUUUCUCAUUAAGUUUCACAUCAAAAUUUUAACCAAUAUUAGAAGUGUUUAUAUAGUUCAUUUAUACAUUGUUUGUUGUCAA